UCUCUUAGUGCAGAGAACUAAACUGCAACAACAGAAGAUGAUCGGUGGGUAAGUACAUAGGUAAGUAUGAGAGCAACCUAGGGAACGAACUGUGACUCCAAGCUGUUAUUUGAUCACUUGUUAUUUGUUGAUUUUAGGAGUAAAUUUCUGUAACUUGAGUCAGCCCUUUGCCAAGCAGAGAUCACUGCUUUCUAUUCAGCAGUUCAGUGAGUCUGGGUAGAGGCCUGAGAGAUACAUGAUAAAACAACAUAGUCUAUUCAUUUCUCAUCAAUUUACCCUCUCUUAUGGUGAGUUUUCAGACUGAUUUCCCAGGUAGGGAUGCAAGAGUGAGCAAUGAUUGUGCAGCCAUAGAAUGGAUCUGGCAGUGUUUCUUUUCUCUCUCUCUCCACAGAGUACUCAGCCUAUCAAAUUAUACUUCAUUAUGCAGUCACACUGUGUGGGCUGUGGCCAAAGAGCUUUCUUUCCAGCAGAGGUCCCUUGAAUGAUGAGACCUCACAAGGAGCAUGCUUGUGAUCAACAGAUCACUUUAUAGAUUCGCACACUUGGUACACCACAGACCCAUCUGACCUGUUUCCCAACCAGGGCAGAAUGAUGCACUGGAGAAGUUUGAUUUGGAGCCAGCUGUGUGGAGUCUUACUCUUAUUAUUGCUGAAGUAGUUUUGGUAAAGAAGAGGCUGAUUUGCUGGUUCACUGAAGCACUCCUACACUGUGUGGGACCUGGCAAGGGGCACAAAUCCUGGCAACCCCGCUCUAUGACAUUUCCAAUGGCUUUGCUGAAUGUGAGUGUAAGAAGGAGGUUGCAGCUACGGUGUCCACUCAGAUGCAAAAUUAUCAACACAAUGAACAGUUUUAGACUCUACAUAACCCUUCACGAGUUCACCUUGGUACCGGUGCUCUCCAACAUCUUUACUGAUGACAUAGACAGUGGGAUCAAGUGUAUCCUCAGCAAGUUUGCCCAUGACACUACACAUAGUGGUACAAUUGAUACACCGGAAGGAAGAAAUGUCAUCCAAAGGAACAGUAACAGGCUUGAAAAUUAGGCACACAUGAACCUAAUGAAAUUCAAUAAGGCCAAGUGUAAGGUGCUGCAUUCCUGUUGGGACAGUCUGGGAUAUGUAUACAGACCAACAGAAGAACAUAUUGAGAGCUGCCCUGCAGAGAAGGACAAGUGGGAUCCUGGUAGAUGAAAAGCUGGACAUAAACCAGCAGUGUGUGCUUGAAGCCCAGAAGGCCAACAGUAUCCUGAGCUGCAUCAAAAGAAGGAUGGCCAACAGGGAGAAGAAGGUAAGUGUCCCCCAGUAUUCUGCCCUUGUGAGGCUCCAUCUGAAGUACUGCAUCUAGGUCUGGGAUACCCGGUACAAGAAGGAUGGAGCUGUUGGAACAGAUCCAGAGAAAGGCCACAAAGAUAAUCAGAGGGCUGGAGUACCUCUCUUACAAAAAAGGUUGAGAAAGCUGGGCUUGGUCAGCUUGUGGAAGGGAAAGCUCCAAGGAAAGCUUGUUUCAGACUUCUAGUACUUAAAGGGAGCUCACAAGCAGGAGGGAGACCAACUUUUUACAUGGUGAUACUGAUAGGACAAGGGGGAAAAGUUUUAAAAUAAAAUGAGGGAUUUAGGUUAGAUGUUAGUGGGA
rnacentral:lncRNA from 1 species